rnacentral:rRNA from 1 species
UACGGAGGGUGCAAGCGUUAUCCGGAUUCACUGGGUUUAAAGGGUGCGUAGGUGGGUUGGUAAGUCAGUGGUGAAAUCCCCGAGCUUAACCUGGGAACUGCCAUUGAUACUAUCAGUCUUGAAUACUGUGGAGGUUAGCGGAAUAUGUCAUGUAGCGGUGAAAUGCUUAGAUAUGACAUAGAACACCAAUUGCGAAGGCAGCUGGCUACACAAAUAUUGACACUGAGGCACGAAAGCGUGGGGAUCAAACAGG